AGAGGCUUAGGCUAGCACAAGACCAAGGGCCUUCAAAGCCCUAAGCAGGGGUGAGAAUCCCCUAGCCUCUG
rnacentral:tRNA from 1 species